rnacentral:misc_RNA from 1 species
GGAUGACAAUGAAGGUUCUAAUCAGCAGGAAAGCCAUGAAGAGAAGUCGGAAGAGAAGCCAGAAGAGAAGCCUGAAGAGAAGGCGGAAGAGAAGCCGGAAGAGAAGCCUGAAGAGAAGCUUGAAGAGAAGCCCGAAGAACAGAAUGAGGACAAGAACGGAGGGAAUGAAGAAACUAAACCAGACGAUGGAGGAAAAACUGAAGAUGGUGAUUCUAAG